rnacentral:lncRNA from 1 species
AGGGUGUUAGUGCAUAUGAUUGUUUGGUCCUCCAAGAUGGUGUUUUUAUCGAGGAAGAUAUUUUCGUCAAAAACUUAUUCUUCAGGCGUCUGCGACGUCUCGCGAUGCUGAAGAUUAGUUCUUCUUUCGUAUGCCGCUUUUCGUGCUAGAAAUAUUUAUGGGCUUGAAGAUGUUUCGCGGUGUUGUAAGGGUUUUGUCUUAACCCCGCGUCGGAGAAACAUUUUUGGUUUGUCUGUGGAUGUUAGCAACCAAAACUGUUAUUUCCAUUCGGAUGCUAAUAUUUUGAUUUGCGAUCGAGGAACUAGGACUGAGGGGUCUCGUAAAUUUGCCCAUGGGAAGAAGCGUUUUCCUUCAUAGUUCUUUGUGAAAUGUUGGUCUUCCGAGAUCUAUUUC